GACGAACGCUGGCGGCGUGCUUAACACAUGCAAGUCGAACGGAAAGGCCCUGCUUUUGUGGGGUGCUCGAGUGGCGAACGGGUGAGUAACACGUGAGUAACCUGCCCUUGACUUUGGGAUAACUUCAGGAAACUGGGGCUAAUACCGGAUAGGAGCUCCUGCUGCAUGGUGGGGGUGGGAAAGUUUCGGCGGGUGGGGAUGGACUCGCGGCUGAUCAGCUUGUUGGUGGGGUAGUGGCUUACCAAGGCUGUGACGGGUAGCCGGCCUGGGAGGGUGACCGGCCACAUUGGGACUGAGGUACGGCCCAGACUCCUACGGGAGGCAGCAGUGGGGAAUAUUGCACAAUGGGCGGAAGCCUGAUGCAGCAACGCCGCGUGCGGGAUGACGGCCUUCGGGUUGUAAACCGCUUUCGCCUGUGACGAAGCGUGAGUGACGGUAAUGGGUAAAGAAGCACCGGCUAACUACGUG
rnacentral:rRNA from 1 species